CGGGGGGGGCAAGCGUUGUUCGGAAUUACUGGGCGUAAAGGGCUCGUAGGCGGCCAACUAAGUCCGACGUGAAAUCCCCAGGCUCAACCUGGGAACUGCGUCGGAUACUGGAUGGCUUGAAUUCGGGAGAGAGAUGCAGAAUUCCAGGUGUAGCGGUGAAAUGCGUAGAUAUCUGGAGGAAUACCGGUGGCGAAGGCGGCAUCCUGGACCGACAUUGACGCUGAGGAGCGAAAGCUAGGGGAGCAAACGGGAUUAGAUACCCCGGUAGUCCUAGCCCUAAACGAUGAAUGCUUGGUGUGGCGGGUAUCGAUCCCUGCCGUGCCGAAGCUAACGCAUUAAGCAUUCCGCCUGGGGAGUACGGUCGCAAGGCUG
rnacentral:rRNA from 1 species